AUCCAGGUGAUGAGUCCCACAUAGGAUGAGACGCGCGUCCUAGAU
rfam:Schistosoma rodhaini strain Burundi genome assembly, scaffold: SROB_scaffold0000209